CUCAGAGGAGAGAAGACCUGAACCAUCUGAAACUUGCUCUCUCUCUCAAAACUCAUGAUCAAGGAACUGCCUGCCUCCAGAAGGAAUCUCCACCUGUCUCUGGAUGAUACUUGUACAAAGUAGUUGGGGUAAUGUACAAUACUGGUGAGCACUUUGUAUGCUUCUACCAUUUUGGUGAUACUGAGAGCUUGUGUGACUAUGAUGGACGUUUAGAAUUACAAAAAGGUAGGAUGUGGAGAUACACCAGCGACUGAAGAAGAGUUCUCCAAAGCUCCUAGGAAGGAAAGUACCAAGUCAUGCUGUUGUUGUAUGAAUGUCUUGGAAACAAUAAAGAUAUCUUUAAGGAUA